GUGGGGAAUUGUUCGCAAUGGGCGCAAGCCUGACGACGCAACGCCGCGUGGAGGAUGAAGGUCUUCGGAUUGUAAACUCCUGUUGCUCGGGACGAAUGGCUCCGGCCUAAUACGCCGGAGUGUGACGGUACCGGGUGAGGAAGCCCCGGCUAACUCUGUGCCAGCAGCCGCGGUAAUACAGAGGGGGCAAGCGUUGUUCGGAAUUACUGGGCGUAAAGGGCGCGUAGGCGGCCCGCUAAGUCGAACGUGAAAUCCCUGGGCUCAACCCAGGAACUGCGUCCGAUACUGGCAGGCUUGAAUCCGGGAGAGGGAUGCGGAAUUCCAGGUGUAGCGGUGAAAUGCGUAGAUAUCUGGAGGAACACCGGUGGCGAAGGCGGCAUCCUGGACCGGUAUUGACGCUGAGGCGCGAAAGCCAGGGGAGCAAACGGGAUUAGAAACCCCGGUAGUCC
rnacentral:rRNA from 1 species